GGCUUCUUGAUGUCUGUCCGACAUAUUGGAGUCCACAUGAACACUCUAUAAGGGGACGGUGGUUAUUUCAGUAGAGAAUGGUUAUUCACACCAUAUAAUAAUCCUCGAAGAAGAUGUGAGGUUAAAUUCAACGAGGCACACAGAUCCACCCGAGGAAUCAUCGAGAGAGCUUUUGGAUUGUUAAAAAUGCGCUUUCGUUGUCUUGACCAUUCAGGUGGUGUGAUGCAGUAUGCUCCAGAAAAGGUUGCAAAAAUAAUUCUGGUAUGCUGCAUUUUUCAUAACAUUGCAAUAAGAAGAGGAUUUGAAAUUGAGGAUGCUAACGAAAUCUCCUUUGAGUACUUCCCAGAGGUCAUCUGUAAUGAUGCACCAACAAGACAGGCCAUUAACGCCAAAAAUUAUGUUGCAGAAAACUAUUUUAAUGAUUGAUUUAGUAAAUAAAGUUUAUUCACAUGAUUAAAAUUUUUAUGUCAUUUAAAUAAAAAUAUAAAAUUUAAA